AUUGAACGCUGGCGGCAUGCCUUACACAUGCAAGUCGAACGGUAACAGGUCUUCGGAUGCUGACGAGUGGCGAACGGGUGAGUAAUACAUCGGAACGUGCCUAGUAGUGGGGGAUAACUACUCGGAAGAGUGGCUAAUACCGCAUGAGAUCUACGGAUGAAAGCAGGGGAUCGCAAGACCUUGUGCUACUAGAGCGGCCGAUGGCAGAUUAGGUAGUUGGUGGGAUAAAAGCUUACCAAGCCGACGAUCUGUACCUGGUCUGAGAGGACGAUCAGCCACGCUGGGACUGAGACACGGCCCAGACUCCUACGGGAGGCAGCAGUGGGGAAUUUUGGACAAUGGGCGAAAGCCUGAUCCAGCAAUGCCGCGUGCAGGAUGAAGGCCUUCGGGUUGUAAACUGCUUUUGUACGGAACGAAAAGCCCCGGGUUAAUACCCUGGGGUCAUGACGGUACCGUAAGAAUAAGCACCGGCUAACUACGUGCCAGCCGCCGCCGUAA
rnacentral:rRNA from 1 species